AUUGGGCAUACAAUGUGCCAGAUUAAACAAGUCAGGAGGGAGUUAAAGGAGACAAGUUUCCAACCGCCAACAGAGAGGGCAGAUGUGGUGCCAAUGAUGUUCCCAUGACACUCUGCCACAGUUUGUAGUGCCAAGACCAUCCUUGACCACAUUGAGUGACCCAUGGAGUUGUUGGAUGAUGAAAAGGAGUACUCUGUGGCUGUCAAAAGUCAAGUUACAGAGUACCUAUGUCAGUUCAUGGAGACAGUCACUUUAAAGAGGAAAUGAAAUGCUAGAGCAGGGGUCGGCAACCUGUGGCCUCGCUUGCCCGUGGUGACACACAAGGCCAUUAACACGGGUCGUACACCGGCUUCCUGUCCCUGCAUCUGUCUGGUCACUAUGACAAUUACCAGAUUUUUCUGCACAGUGAGAGCAGUGCAUUGCGACAAAUGACACCAGUUUUGGGUUGAUUUAGUUAGUAGUAUGUUAGCAGUUAUGGUUAUGCUAAUCUGCAGCACAAGGCAACAGCCUAUUCUUUUUCAUGAUUGGGGCAUUUUAAUAAGCAUACCAUACCAGUGGUACUCGGGCUCAGUCAACUGGGGAACCACAUGGACAAUACAUUUUUCAAAGAGCUACAUUACAAAAGCCCUGUUCCUCAAUCAUACCAACAUAUAUUUUAAAAAUGAUUUACCAGAAAUGAAGAGACCUGUUUGUUGAAAUAUUCCGUCAAAGGUGUUUCCCCUCGAGGUAGGCCUAUUGUGUGCACAAGCUAGUUGCUAUCGCAGUAGUUGCCAUCUCAGUAGUGGCUACUCGCAGUGGCAAUGUUAGCACCACCUAGUGGCAGAACCCCAAGCUUAAGGUGACAGUGAGUCAGAUAGCUGCUGCAGCCAAUCAGCACUUGAAUCUGAGCCUAGCUGCAAGCAACCGGGUAAUCACACAAACCAAGUUACUCACCCAGCUUCUGGAAAACUGUAUGUUUGUUAAGAGUGUCUACCACAAGAGGCUUUUAUGGUAUUAUUGAAGCACUUUGAUUGCUACAAGGCCAUAGACUAUAACAAGUUAUCUUGAAUAGACAGUAUUGAUCUGUUCUCCCUCUAACAAAAGGAAAAUAAAUGGGAGGUUUCAGUAAUAGCUGCUGUUUAAAAUGCUUUUACAUGAAAUGUACAUUUGUGUUUGUCAGAAUGUGUACAUUUCAUGAACAGUUCUUUUCUUUAAAGUGUGAGCAGGCCAUGGUGUGGAGUACUUUGGUGUGGCGCAGCUUAUGUUGUCGGUGCAUGGGCCUGACAGUAGGAGCUUAAUUUCGAGCAAAAGUGUGCACAGUUAGUGGUAGGGCAUGAAUUUGAUUUGUUUUGUUUUUACAAUAAAAUGGUUAUAUAGUCAUCUUUUAAAUGCUUUGCUGAAAAUGUUUAAAUCUUAAACCCCAUAUUUUUUUACUAAUUACACUAGCAUUGAAAGGUUUUGGAGAGAUGUGUCCUGCACUUGCUGGAGGAUGAGAGACACCUGGACCCCAGCAACAGUACCCAUUGAUUGUGCUGCCAGCAUAUGUUCCUGCUACAGCUUCAACACAGCCUCAACAUGUUCAGUGACUGCUGGGACAACCAUCCAUUAAGGACUGAACAGAACAUGACUCCAAACCAGAUGUGGGCAAUGGGAGAACUGCAAAAUCCCAUUCAUGAUCCCAAUGAUGAUUUUUGGGAUGUCUUCAAUUCAGGUUAUGGCUUAGGUCAAGUGUGACUAUUAUUAAUAACAAUAGAAUGACUUAACCUAUAGCCUACACAAUAAUAGUUUAGAUAUAUACUGGAACAUAGAAAUAUCAGCAUGUAUCAUAUCAAUGUAUGUCACAGUAUGUAGGAAUACGUGGAUAUAGGAAUAUGUAAUAUAUGUAAUAUGUAAAUAGAUAUGUAGAGAAAUUUCUACGUAGUACCUAUAUAUACAUAUAUAACAG